rnacentral:siRNA from 1 species
AGCGAAUCGCUAAUGUCUCUCGGA